GGGAUUGUGGCUCAGUGGUAGAGCACUCGCCUAGAACGGGCGGGACCUGGGUUCGAUUCUCAGCACCA
rfam:Ictidomys tridecemlineatus contig031710, whole genome shotgun sequence.